rnacentral:tRNA from 1 species
GCCUGGCUAGCUCAGUCGGUAGAGCAUGAGACUCUUGGGUCGUGGGUUCGAGCCCACGUUGGGCG